GAUGAACGCUGGCGGCGUGCCUAAUACAUGCAAGUCGAGCGAACGGACGAGAAGCUUGCUUCUCUGAUGUUAGCGGCGGACGGGUGAGUAACACGUGGAUAACCUACCUAUAAGACUGGGAUAACUUCGGGAAACCGGAGCUAAUACCGGAUGAUAUUUUGAACCGCAUGGUUCAAAAGUGAAAGACGGUCUUGCUGUCACUUAUAGAUGGAUCCGCGCUGCAUUAGCUAGUUGGUAAGGUAACGGCUUACCAAGGCAACGAUGCAUAGCCGACCUGAGAGGGUGGUUGGCCACACGGGAACUUAGACACGGUCCAGACUCCCACGGGAGGCAGCAUUAGGGAAUCUUCCACAAUGGGCGAAAGCCUGACGGAGCAACGCCGCGUGAGUGAUGACGGUCUUCGGAUCGUAAAACUCUGUUAUUAGGGAAGAACAUCUGUGUAAGUAACUGGGCACAUCUUGACGGUACCUAAUCAGAAAGCCACGGCUAACUACGUG
rnacentral:rRNA from 1 species